GAUGAAGAACGUAGCGAAAUGCGAUAAGUAAUGUGAAUUGCAGAAUUCAGUGAAUCAUCGAAUCUUUGAACGCACAUUGCGCCCAUUAGCAUUCUAGUGGGCAUGCCUGUUCGAGCGUCAUUUCAACCCUUAAGCCCUGUUGCUUAGCGUUGGGAGCCUACAGUACUGUAGCUCCCCAAAGUUAGUGGCGGAGUCGGUUUCACACUCUAGACGUAGUAAUUUUUUCUCGUCUGUAGUUGAGCCGGUCCCCUGCCGUAAAACACCCAAUUUAUCAAGGUUGACCUCGGAUCAGGUAGGAAUACCCGCUGAACUUAGGCAUAUCAAUAAGCGGAGGA
rnacentral:misc_RNA from 1 species